AUAUCAAUAAGCGGAGGAAAAGAAACUAACAAGGAUUCCCCUAGUAACUGCGAGUGAAGCGGGAAGAGCUCAAAUUUAAAAUCUGGCAGCUCUGCUGUCCGAGUUGUAAUCUGUAGAAGCAUUUUCUGCAUUGGACUGUGUACAAGUCUCUUGGAAUAGAGCGUCAUAGAGGGUGAGAAUCCCGUCCAUGACACAGACUACCAAUGCUAUGUGAUAUGCUCUCAAAGAGUCGAGUUGUUUGGGAAUGCAGCUCAAAAUGGGUGGUAAAUUCCAUCUAAAGCUAAAUACAGGCGAGAGACCGAUAGCGAACAAGUACCGUGAGGGAAAGAUGAAAAGCACUUUGGAAAGAGAGUUAAACAGUACGUGAAAUUGUUGAAAGGGAAACGCUUGAAGUCAGUCACAUUCUGCAGAACUCAGCCUUGCCUAUUAGGUCUGGUGUAUUUCCUGCAGGAUGGGUCAACAUCAAUUUUGGUCAGUGGAUAAAGGAGGAGGGAAUGUGGCACCUGUGAAGGUGUGUUAUAGCCUCUCUUUCAUAUACAUUGACUGGGAUUGAGGACUGCAGCAUGCCCUUGUGGCCAGGCCUUUCAUGUCACAUGCUUAGGAUGUUGACAAAAUGGCUUUAAGCGACCCGUCUUGAAACACCG
rnacentral:rRNA from 1 species